GAUCUGAAAACAAAAGGAGUCAACGCACCUACCCCUCUCCUCGCACGUUCUGUUCGUGCCCGAUCCCCUCCUUCCCACCUUCUUCCUCCUGCACAGCCUCCUCCCACCUCCCCUCCACCUUCCACUGCCGGUGACGCCAGGGGCUCGUGCCUCCGAUGCCAGAGCCGUACUGCUGUCCGUCUAUCUCUUCUGCCCUGCCAACCCACCACGGAGCGAGAUGCGCGCGGCUCCCUCGUGCCCGGCGACCUUCCCCCGCCAGCCCUGCCCUCCCCCGAUCCACUUACUUUCCCCGUCGGCGCCGCCCUCCCCCAAUCCACCUUCUUCCCUCGCCGGUGCCGCCCUCCCCCGAUCCAUCUAUUUCCCCUUCCCCAGGCAUCGACGAACUUUCCCUCGCCUCAAUCUGCAGCGAUGCAGACGAUUGGUAGUAGGGAACGCCGUCCUUCCCCUCUCCUUGGAUUUUCGGGGCGCCAAGACCCAGCGUGAUCUCCGCGGUGCGUGGCACAACCACUGUCUACCGGCGGCGACAUGUCCCCCGAGCUCCCCCUGCCUCCCUGCGGUCAUCCACUUCCUGUCGGGAUCACCGCCUCUUGAUGCCGGCCAGGGCGAGGAGUUGUCCCGGAGUGGUGGCCACCAAGGCUUCGCCUCCUCUGGAUCCGGCGGCCAUGGCCUCCGCCGUCUCAUCUGCUGCUUCCCGUGGCUGUAGCUCAUGAACAAGACGACGACUGUGGUGGCGAUGCCUCCCGCCCCAAGGAGGAGCAGGGCAGCAGUGUGGGGGCGAAGGAUGGCGGCAGGAAGGGCGGGCCCAAAUGCAGGGUGAUGCUGCCCUGCAUUGUCGCCGCCGGUGUGCAGUUUAGCUUGGCGCUGCAACUCUCCCUCCUCACCCAUGCAGUCACUUCGUCCACAUUACAGGUGGUUCAACGGGUGACCUGCAGUUCACCCAGCGGCCACCACGAGCCCCCGACGUCCUACAUGCUGUAGUUUUGGGUUGAUGUUGAAUUGAUCGAUGCUGAAGGCCCCGUGCAGUCUGGUGUGGCGUAAGCAUGCAGUACGGGCGGUGGCGAUGUAGCUCCUGUAGUUCAUGUAUGCGGCGUGUGCGGUUUGUUUGCAGCCCAUGUGCACGAUACAUGCAGGUUGUGUGUGUGUGUGUGUCGAUGUUCUGUUCGCUGGGAAACUACAGAAGAAAAAUGAUCAAUUUUUUAAGUUCACUUUCUUCUUGAAUGUGUGAGAGAAAAUGUAAAAAUUUAUUUGUGUGAGAGAGAAAUGUCUCUCGCGCGGUUCGUGUGUGAAGUUUUGUAUGUAUUCUUUUAUUUGUAGAAAAGGUGUCUGGUUCA